rnacentral:rRNA from 1 species
CAAUAGCGUAUAUUAAAGUUGUUGCAGUUAAAAAGCUCGUAGUUGGAUUUCUGGUUGAAGCGACCGGUCGGGCGUUGAUUCGUCUGCACUGGAGUCGGUUUUGGCCAUCCUCUAGGAAAGUGCGUCUGGUAUUAAGUUAUCGGGCGUAUGAUCCUGGUCUUUUACUGUGAAAAAAUUAGAGUGUUUAAAGCAGGCCUUCGCCUUGAAUACAUUAGCAUGGAAUAAUAAGAUAGGACUUUGGUCUAUUUUGUUGGUUUGCAGACCGGAGUAAUGAUUAAUAGGGAUAGUUGGGGGUAUUUAUAUUCCGAUGUCAGAGGUGAAAUUCUUAGAUUUUCGGAAGAUAAACUUAUGCGAAAGCAUUUACCAAGGAUGUUUNCAUUA